CUAACACAUUAGGUUAAAGAGGUGGUGGUGAAUUUAUUUUUAGAAUAGGAUUAUAAGCUUUCAGAUUUUUAUUCACAAAAGGGGGUUUUCCGGCCACCACCACCCCGGAUUCCGACUAAGCUCCGACAACCCAAAACCCCCCACCAACAAUAACCCACCAGCAGCUCCAAACAAACCCAGGUGCUCGUCCUCCCUAUUACCUCUUCAAACCAGUAGCUCCGGUGAGCUCGCGCCACCUCAAACCCCACCAAAUCCUCCCUCCAAAUCCACUGGAACACCAACCCAAAACCCCUUCAUUCUCCUUCUCACUGACCAGUACCCGUUGUCCGGCAACAACUCCAGAAAACAUCACCAAACCUCCAUCUCAAACCACCAGAAGACCCACUGAAACGGACCAUCAUCGCUGCCAGUCCAACGCUACCAUGAACCACCAAACGACCCCUCUUUAUUUUCCUAUCUUUUGACCUCUUCCACUGCCUCUAUUCACCACAACACCGCGAGCUUCGACUAGAGCUCGAAAUGAGCCAACCCAGCUGGUCAGCAGCUCACACGAACCAAACUCAUUUGUGCUCUUCUUCUUCAGCGCCUCCCUCCCCCUUUUUCCCUUUUAUUUUGUUUAUUUUACAGGUUAUGGAGAUCUCCGGCAAUAACACUCGAAACCACCCGAUCUUUGGCUGUGUUCCUCUGUCUCAAAUUUUCAGAUCUGGCCGGAAAAUGCAAAGUCCGGUUAUAAUCCUUUUCAUUCUUACAUCAUAUAUAUUCAUAGGUACCUCGGAGAUGCUUCCCGUUGAAGCUAUUCGAACUAGAUGGAUCUGAUAGCCAAGUUAAUCAAUCCAUAUAUCAUGGAGUACAAGGAUGCUGGGGUCGAGAAGGUAUUAUGUUAUUCAGUUUCUAGAACAGGAUUUGGAACUAAAAUGAUUAUCAUGUACUUGAGAAAAAUUCUAUAUCGAGUUGCCUCAAAACCAGAUUGACUUUGUUUUUCUUUCAGGGGAACUGGAUAUGCUAGCCUUGCUAGCAUUUUAAUACUUAUUGACAUAUUGUGAAGGGCAAAGAUCAUAAGGAAGUCUAGAGGAGAUCUCUUCCCAGAAGAGAAACUCUGCAAAUGGCUGACUUAGCUAUUACUGGCGGUAGAUUAUCUGCACUCCAACCGUGUUCUACACAGAGACGUGAAGUUAUCUAACAUUUUUGUCACAAAGCACAAUGACAUCCGACCAGGCCUUUGUAUGAAAUAACAAUUUCAACAAUUGACAAGCCCACGCUCCUCUUUCGGAUAAUUCAACUUCGAAAAGUAUGUAGUCAUCCUUACCUUUUUGGUGGUAUAGAAUCGGAACCAUAUGAAGAGGGAGAACACCUAGUUCAGGUAAAUAUUUCUAAUCUGAUAUGAGGAAGUAUUCUUAUGAGCGUAUUGAUGGUUCAAUUCGUGCGGAAGAGCGCUUCGCUGCAAUCAGGAGCUUUAGUCAUAAUAGAUCAAAGUUUGAAGCUGAACAAAAUGCAGCAUUUGUUUUCUUGAUUUCAACAAGAGCUGGUGGAGUUGGGUUGAAUCUUGUGGCUAAUAUGCAGUCAUAUUUUACGAGCAAGAUUGGAAUCCUCAGGUAGACAAGCAGACCUUGCAGCGUGCUCACCAUUUCUGGAGCUGUUCAUUUUGUUUACGGGGACUGCACCCGUCCUACUAAAGUGUCUCCAUCAGAGCCGACCAUCAUAUUCAGGUGUAUAUGAAACACUUAUCUUUUCGGGUCAAGCUUGUGAUGUUUGUCACAACUUUUAUAGAAAGUAUUUUUACUACUGUUUUAAUUGCACACGCAUGUUAAGUUUUCCAUUA